UAAAAAGAAUUUAACCGAACUGGGAUUGAAUGCCUCCCCUCUCACCCCUCUACUCUCUCCGCUCCACGUUUAGGUAUGAAACUCGUGAGCAUUAG